rnacentral:rRNA from 1 species
GAUUAGAUACCCUGGUAGUCCACGCCGUAAACGAUGCUAACUCGUUUUUGGGCUUUCGGGCUCAGAGACCAAGCGAAAGUGAUAAGUUAGCCACCUGGGGAGUACGAACGCAAGUUUGAAACUCAAAGGAAUUGACGGGGGCCCGCACAAGCGGUGGAUUAUGUGGUUUAAUUCGAUGAUACGCGAGGAACCUUACCAAGACUUAAAUGGGAAUUGACAGGUUUGGAAACAGACCCUCCUUCGGGCAAUUUUCAAGGUGCUGCAUGGUUGUCGUCAGCUCGUGCCGUGAGGUGUUAGGUUAAGUCCUGCAACGAGCGCAACCCCUGUCACUAGUUGCUAACAUUUAGUUGAGGACUCUAGUGAGACUGCCUACGCAAGUAGAGAGGAAGGUGGGGAUGACGUCAAAUCAUCACGGCCCUUACGUCUUGGGCCACACACGUAAUACAAUGGCCGGUACAGAGGGCAGCUACACAGCGAUGUGAUGCAAAUCUCGAAAGCCGGUCUCAGUUCGGAUUGGAGUCUGCAACUCGACUCUAUGAAGCUGGAAUCGCUAGUAAUCGCGCAUCAGCCAUGGCGCGGUGAAUACGUUCCCGGGCCUUGUACACACCGCCCGUCAAGCCAUGGAAGUUUGGGGUACCUGAAGUCGGUGACCGUAAAAGGAGCUGCCUAGGGUAAAACAAGUAACUAGGGCUAAGUCGUAACAAGG